GUGGGGAAUAUUGGACAAUGGGGGGAACCCUGAUCCAGCCAUGCCGCGUGUGUGAAGAAGGCCUUUUGGUUGUAAAGCACUUUAAGCGAGGAGGAGGCUACCGAGAUUAAUACUCUUGGAUAGUGGACGUUACUCGCAGAAUAAGCACCGGCUAACUCUGUGCCAGCAGCCGCGGUAAUACAGAGGGUGCGAGCGUUAAUCGGAUUUACUGGGCGUAAAGCGUGCGUAGGCGGCUUUUUAAGUCGGAUGUGAAAUCCCCGAGCUUAACUUGGGAAGUGCAUUCGAUACUGGGAAGCUAGAGUAUGGGAGAGGAUGGUAGAAUUCCAGGUGUAGCGGUGAAAUGCGUAGAGAUCUGGAGGAAUACCGAUGGCGAAGGCAGCCAUCUGGCCUAAUACUGACGCUGAGGUACGAAAGCAUGGGGAGCAAACAGGAUUAGAAACCCGGGUAGUCC
rnacentral:rRNA from 1 species